rnacentral:rRNA from 1 species
UCGGCUGAAUGAGCGACGCCGCGUGAACGAAGAAGGGCGUGAGGUUGUAAAGUUCUUUUCUGGAGGGGGAACAACCGUGGCAGGGAAUGGCCGCGGGAUGACGUGAAUCCCGGAAUAAGCCCCGGCUAACUACGUGCCAGCAGCCGCGGUAACACGUAGGGGGCGAGCGUUGUUCGGAAUCAUUGGGCGUAAAGGGCGUGCAGGCGGUCCUGCAAGUCCGGCGUGAAAUACCCCGGCCCAACCGGGGGGACGCGCUGGAAACUGCAGGGCUUGAGUACAGGAGGGGAUGCCGGAAUUCCAGGUGUAGGGGUGAAAUCUGUAGAUAUCUGGAAGAACACCAAUGGCGAAGGCAGGCAUCUGGCCAUGUACUGACGCUGAGACGCGAAGGUGCGGGGAGCAAACAGGUUUAGAUACCCUGGUAUUCCGCACAGUAAACGAUGUGCACCAGGUGGCGGGGGGUCGACCCCCGGUACCGUAGCUAACGCAUUAAGUGCACCGCCUGGGGAGUAUGCUCGCAAGGGUGAAACUCAAAGGAAUUGACG